GGGAGCGGAUCGGGCCUGGUGGCCUGCCUGGACUUCAAAUCCAGUCGGCGCCUGGGUGGGUGCCCGGGCGCGGUGGGUUCGAUUCCCACACGCUCCCGCCA
rnacentral:tRNA from 1 species